CUGCUCUGUCACCUGUGUACUCAGGGACAUUAUUCUCAAGUUGUAAGUGCAGGCAGCUCUACCCCGCAGCACGUGUGGGAUGAAGAAGGAAGGAAGGAAGAAAGAAAGGAGGGAGGCGGGGAGGGAGGGAGGAAUGAAAGAACCUAGGUCAAUAGUAUAAAUGUAGCCCUGAGCCGGGGGUCCCAAGGCUCCCCGUGACAUCUGCCUGUAUCCCAGCAUCUCUUUAAAUGAAGAAGCAGCCUUCCUUGAAGACCCACCAGGUGGGAACUGCUGCCCACUCCAGAAGCCUGGGGAGGGCUUCUCUCAAGACUGUGGUGUUCGCGCUUCUCUCUCCCUCCUCUGCUGCACUUGCUUUUCCUUGGAGUCAAGUGACAGGUCAGGCUCAGCCCAGGGUGCAGAGGGUACAGUGACCCUGGGACACGUGGAUGUCGUGGGAGUGACUCAUUGUGGCCUCACAGCUCAGGAAGGGGGUGCACGUGCUGUCUCCUUGCUUCUGCCUUAUUCCAGGGGAGUUAGACUCUUGCCUUUUGCUCCCAAGCCCUUGAGAAACCAGGGCCAGAUCUACUUGGGAUCUAACUACCAGUGCCCUAGUUAUGCAGGAGUUAGAAACUCAAAUGCCCUCAGGGACCAGAUAGGUGCCAGAGAGCCGUGUGAAGCAGCUGGGUCCCAGGCACCAGGGAGGGGUGCGGUCUGUGGAGGACUGGGUGGGGCAGACCCUCCUAAAGGCUUCAUCGCACUGCACAGCACCUUGCGGGGUAAGGCUGCCGCCCCUGCAGCAGGGAUAUUGGUGCUCCUUCUGGCUCAGAGCAGGCCCUGGGGUCUGUGUUCUGGCUCCUCCUCCCCCAGGAGCUGCGUGGCCUCAGGGAAUUUAGCCGCUCCACUAAGCCUCAGUUUUCUCUAUAAAUGGGGGAAAUAAUGCCCCCUCUUGGGGUUGACGUGCAGGAAAAGGGGAAGUUUUAUAUUCCUUAUGUAUUCCAUAACAUGUUCUUGAUAUAGCACCUCUAUUUGUUUUCUAUGCCGUGUCACAAGUCACCAAAAAUUUAGCAGCUUCAAACAACACGCAUUUAGUAUCUCACAGUUCCUGGGCAUGGCUUAGCAAGUCCUCUGCAGAGCUGCCAACAGUGCCAGUCAGAGCUGGAUUCUCAUCUGGAGGCUCGACUGGGAAGGGUCCACUUCCAAGCUCCCUAGAAAGAAUAAGCUGCGCUUUCUUGCAGGUAUAGGACUCAUUGCAACUUGUUUCUUCACAGCCAGCAAUGGAGAGAGACUCCAGAGCUAGCUCUAGACAUCCCCUCCCCUUUGCCGUUUUCUGUUGGUUGGAAGCCAGUCACAGGUCCCACUCACCAGGGGAGGGGAUCACAGAAACGCAUGAACACCAGGAGGCUGGGAUCAUGGGGUCAACUUAGGUCCAUCCACCAUAGCACCUGAUAGCUUGAUGGCCACGAUUACAAUUGAUUGGGUGCCUACCAUGUACCAGGCAGGGUGUAGAGGAUUUCACACAUGUUGUCCCAUCUAUUUAAGUUGUUGUAUUGAUAAACUAAGACUCAGAGAGGCAGGCAACUUACCUGAACUCACUCAGCUGUUAAGUGGCAGAAUUUAAACCCAGGUCCCUCUGCUCCCCAUUUCUUGGGUCUUCCUUGGACAUUACACUCAAGGCCACGGUCAGCAUCAAGCUGUCCCUGAGGAGCCCUCCAACACCUUAAGGUACUUGUUUCAGAAGUCACUUAUCUCCCUGGGUUCAAGUCCUUUAACUUGUUCAAUCAGGCCCUGUCCUUGGCUGCUGAGUCUCUGUCUCACCUUCCUUCGGCUCUGUCCUCAGACGUCUCUAGAAAUGGUUCAAGCUUCUUGUCCCUUGAUUUGUCUGUCCAAUGAUUCUUCUGUCUCCUCUCAACUCCUUCCUGCUUUAUCAGCUAAUUCCACAAAUAGCCACUGAGACUCCCUUCUGUAGGAAGGCCCUGUGCUGGGUGUGCAACACUAACUCCACUUCAGCAGUUCAGUGAAAACAACACCAUCUUUAGACAAUAGAAAAGUCAUUUUCUCUCUGUAAGUUAGGAGUAGAGAAUACAGAGGGGGCUUAGGUACCUUCACAAGGUGAUCAGGAAUGCAGACCCCUCAUCCAGCAGCUGUGCCUCAUCGUUCAAGAUGGCUGCAGAGCUCCAGCCAUCAUGCUGUCAUUCCCAUCAGCAGGAAGAAGAAAGAGGCGAAGACAAAUCAUCUGUGACCACCCAGACGAGGUUAGAAGCUCCAUGAAAUCUGGCGUCGUGUCUGUCUUCUUUGUUGUUCUAGUUCUGCGGUCCACGGCAGUGCUUGGCAUGUAGUAGGUGCUCCAUAAGUAGUUACUGAUGGAAGGAACACUCAAGAUUGUACUUUAAACAUGCUCUUAAUAUUGGGAUGAGUCAGAGUUGGCCUGGCCCAAAUCUGGAAUCUUCUGAAUUGAGUCUGUGAUGAUGAGUGCUGCUAAGGGCUGUACAUACAUGACCUGGCUUAAUCCUCAGCAGAACCCUGAGAGGAAGAUUCUGCCAUUUUCUUCAACUAGCAAAUGAGAAGACAUCAUGAGAUUGUGGAACUACUAACAGAAAGCUGUGAUUUGAACUUGGCUCUCCAACUCAGAACCUCUAUUCGCUUACCUAGUGACUUUCCAGGACACCAGGGUGACCACAGUCCCCUCUAGACCCCCCUCCUGCAGCCCUGGCUGGCUCCCUUGAUUGCCAGCAGGCAGCUCAGUAGCCAUGUGUUCAGUCACAGGUGCUGAGGAAGCAUCAUACACUUGGCCCCUUGUCCUGAAGUGGGGCUUCGCCUGCAGAAAAUGGAGGAAGGAAGGGCAGGAGGUGCCAGCAUCAACUGGGAGAAUGCCAGUUCUCCAGUGCUCCUCGUCCUCUAGCCGAUUUCCAGGAGCCUUGUGGUCCGGGGGUUCUUUCAGAUUACAGAGGAGGGCAGGUGGGGCUGCUGUGGUCUAGGAGGAGGGUAGGGGCAUGCCUUGCAGUGGGUGCUGUGUGUCCUGUGGCUUCCAUUUCUGCCCGCUUCUUGGCAGGGCCUGCCUGAUAAGGGGGAGAUGAUAGGAAACUGAUACCCGCCUAUGCCGGGCCCCCUUGAACCAUGUGGGGCUUACAGAGCCCCCGGGCCAUGGAGCGGUUCUGAGGGACUUUGGAGGAGGGGUUCUAGCUUCUCCCCUCAGACUCCACAGAAUACCCCAGGUAGGGACUAGAUUCUGGCUGGAGUCAAGGCACUCAGAGCUCUGCUGGGCAAUUUGGUCCAAGCCUCUGUUGCACAGAUGGGAGACAAGGCCAGUGAGGCAACAGGCUUGCCAAGAUCACACAGCCCAUCAGUGUCAGAGCUGGCGCUGGCUCUCUAAACUGGAUGCGCUCUGUGGCUCCUUUGACUGAACAGUUCAUCUGGCCCACGGGCCAUCCGAAGGGCGUUUGGUGGAGGGUACUAGUUUGACGCCUUGCUUGAAGUUUGACGCCACAGCUCUGCUGUGGAGGUCCUGCUGGGGCCAGCGAUUUCUGGUCAUGGCUGCCAGAAGGUGGCGCUAGGCACCCAGUUGCCACUUAAUUUCCAGAAAAAGAAAAUGGCAACCCGGGGUCUGGGUGUAAUUAGGGCAAGAGGCCAGCUUUAGAGCUCAGCUUCCAAUCACCCUUCCACCCUGGCAUGCUUGUGCAUGGGCACCCAGGGGCAGGGGAGGGACUGGAGAACGCACAUUGGGUUCCUCUGGUCCCAGACCCUUUGGAAGGUUGCAGUGUGGGCAGUGAAUGGGUGCCCAGGUGUGCUCCAUUUACUCAUCUUGACUAGAUGAUAACCAGAGAUGGAAUAAAAGCAGCCGGCAUGGAUGGGUGCCUCUCUCCAACAGCGAGACUCAGCCUGGGCCCCAGCUCAGGCCUUUUCACCUGGCUUAGCUCCCUGGCACACCCCCUCGCUUGGCACAGGGCACUUCGUCCCCUUCUGGGGCAGGGCCAGAGAGCUCAGGAUGCCCCUGAGAGAGGCUGUCUCAUUCCUGGGAACUUCCCCUCCUCCCUUCACC
ensembl:lncRNA